AUAAAUGCGGCUCAGGUGACGGGCGCGGCCCCCAUCGGAUCGGCCCUGCUGGAGAAGAUCAUGAAGACGACAACGCUGGGACCGCAACUGGAUAAACUGAAAAGCUUUGCACCGUCAGCAGCAGCAAAUAGCAUUAAUCCUGCUAGUAGCAAUUCCAUUGGUUCUAUCUUCUUCAAUAAAAUGAGUAUGGAUUUCAUGUUCCUGAACGUGUCGGGCAAGGCAAAUACGUCAUUGGAUAUAACUCAAAGCCUACCGCAUUACUGCGAGGAGAAACAAUUUCGCUGCAACAGUGGUGAAUGCAUUCCCAUACGAUUUGUCUGCGAUGGCUCAUCCGAUUGCAAGGAUCACAGUGAUGAGCGACUGGAGCAAUGCAAAUUUGCAGAGUCGACUUGUGGCGCUGAACAGUUCCGUUGCAACAAUGGCUACUGCAUAUCCAAGAAAUGGCGUUGCGAUCGCGAAAAUGACUGUGCCGAUGGCUCCGACGAGGCACCAGGGCUUUGCAAGAGCAAACCCUGCUCACAGGAUGAGUUCGCCUGCAAGGGCGGCGAUGUGGGCUGUAUACCGUUGGCCUGGAUGUGUGAUCAGAGCAAAGAUUGCAGCGAUGGCUCCGAUGAGGCCACGUGCAAUACCACCUGCCGCUCCGAUGAGUUCACCUGCAGCAAUGGGCGUUGCAUUCAGAAGCGAUGGGUCUGCGAUCACGAUGAUGACUGCGGCGAUGGAAGCGAUGAGCGCAACUGUCCCAAAAUCGAGUGCAACAGGAACAACACCUUCACCUGCAGCAAUGGCGCCUGCAUUCCCAAGGGUUGGGUUUGCGAUGGCGAACCCGAUUGCCCGGGUGCCGACGACGAGCGCGACUGCGCCAAGUCGCAGGUGAUUGUGACGCCCUGCCUGGCACAUGAGUAUCAGUGCAGGGAUCGCAUUACCUGCCUGCACCAAAGCUGGCUCUGCGACGGAGAUCGCGACUGCCCCGACGGCGACGAUGAGCAUGCCUCGAACUGCAAGAACAUCACCUGCAGACCGGAUCAGUUCCAAUGCGGCGAUCGUAGCUGUAUUGCCGGCCAUCUCGCUUGCAAUGGGCAGGCGGAUUGUGCCGAUGGCAGCGAUGAACGGGAGUGCAGACUGAAGGCUCAGACUAAGGGCUGCAACGCCACUAGCCAAUUUGAUUGUGGAGGCGGACAAUGUAUUCCCCUAUCCAAGGUAUGCGACAAGCGCAAGGAUUGCCCCGAUGGCGAGGAUGAGCCGGCUGGCAAAUGUGAAGUCAAUGAAUGCGCCUCGAGAAAUGGUGGCUGCAUGCAUCGUUGUGUGGACCACCUGGUGGGUUACAGCUGCGAUUGUCACCAGGGAUACAAACUAUCAGGAGACAAUCGCACCUGUCUGGAUGUCAAUGAGUGCGAACAACCAGGUGUCUGCUCCCAGAUCUGUGUGAAUGAAGUGGGCGGCUUCAAGUGCGAGUGUGAGGCGGGCUACAUGCGAGAUCCUCGGAAUCACACACGCUGCAAGGCAACCGAAGGACACGCCUCGUUGCUCCUGGCACGUCGUCAUGAUAUACGCAAGAUUGCGCUGGAUCACAUGGAGAUGACAUCGAUUGUGAAUAACACAAAGUCUGCGACGGCGCUGGACUUUGUGUUCCGCACGGGCAUGAUCUUCUGGAGCGAUGUGACCACGCAGAGCAUCUACAAGGCGCCCAUCGAUGAGGGCAACGAGAAGACCGUGGUGCUGAAGCAAUCCUCUGUUACGUCGGAUGGCCUCGCAGUGGACUGGAUCUACAACCAUGUCUAUUACACGGACACGCACAAGUGCACCAUCGAGCUGACCAACUUCGAUGGCAAUAUGGGCAAAGUGCUGAUCGAGGAUUCACUGGACAUACCACGCUCCAUUGCCCUGGAUCCCAUUGAGGGGUGGAUGUACUGGUCGGACUGGGGAGCGUCCCCACGCAUCGAACGCGCCGGCAUGGAUGGCUCCCAUCGCACCACAAUUAUCAACUAUGAUGUGAAGUGGCCCAAUGGCAUCACUCUAGAUCUGGUGAGGAAGCGCAUCUACUGGGUGGAUGGCAAGCUGAAUGUCAUCUCCUCGGCCAACUACGAUGGCUCACAGCGCAGACAAAUAUUGUACUCCACGGAGUACUUGCGACAUCCCUUCUCGAUAAGCACCUUCGAGGACUACAUCUACUGGACCGACUGGGACAAGCAGACAGUCUUCAAGGCCAACAAGUUCACAGGGGAGGAUGUGGAGCCCAUCACAGCUGUGCAUAUGCUCCAACAUCCCAUGGUCAUUCAUGUGUAUCAUCCGUAUCGCCAGCCCGAUGGCAUUAAUCACUGCCAAUCGGUUAAUGGUCACUGCUCACAUCUUUGCCUGCCGGCGCCGCGCAUCAAUGAGCGCAGUCCUCGCAUCUCCUGCGCCUGUCCCACGGGCCUCAAGCUCAUGGCCGAUGGUCUCAUGUGCAUCGAAGAUCAACACAUACGCCCCGUGCAACCCACGAGGCGUAUUAAUACAACAGCAAAACCAACUACGCCUGCAAUAACAUCGCCAACGCCAAAAUACGCGAAAUUACCGCAAGAAGCGGCCAGUUUAGCGCCGGACACUGGCAUCGCUAAGAACGCGACUCACCCGGACAGCAGCAGCAGCAGCAACAACACUGAGGCGACGCAAACAACGGGCAGCGACUCCGGCAAAAUAGCCCUAAUAGUCAUAGGCGGGCUCCUUUUCGGAACUGCUAUUAUAUGCAUCUUCUACUGCCUUAUCAAGAGAUAUCCGAAGCGCGGCAAUACGAUUAACUUUGAGAAUCCCGCGUACAAUAAGACCACUGAGGAUACGUUCAGUUUGGAGAAGAAUACGUCGAUUAAUCGAUACGUCCCGGCCACCGAGGAAGAGGCACCGUUACGAGAUCAGGGCAUAGAAUGCGUCUGAAAGACACCAUAAGCAGAUCAUAUAUAUAAUGAGACAUAUCCUAACUGCGUUUAUCAAGAGCAGCAGCUACAACAUAAACAACAACAACAUGAAAACUCCUAUUAUCAAGUCCUUUAAGUUUAAGGCAACUUACUCAAAGAAACAAAGAGGAAAACUUUUGUUCAGCGCAACGUUUUGACAUCAACUAACAGCGUCAAGAGACACAUAGACACACACACUCACACACACACACACAACAUUUGUAUGUACAUUCAUACCCACACACUAACACACACGCACAGGAGCGAGCCUCAAGUCACACACAGCCCGAAACUCAACAUUUAAUUCUUUAAGUCUUGAAAUAAAUUGUAUAAAGUUAA
rnacentral:misc_RNA from 1 species